rnacentral:tRNA from 1 species
GCUCGCGUGGUGUAGUCAGGUCCAUCAUUACGGGUUUUCAUCCCGUCGACCCGGGUUCGAAUCCCGGCGCGAGCACCA